rnacentral:rRNA from 1 species
GAUAGAGAAUGCAAGCGUUAUCCGGAAUGAUUGGGCGUACAUCGUCUGUAGGUGGCUUUUCAAGUCCGCUGUCAAAUCCCAGGGCUCAACCCUGGACAGGCUGUGGAAACUACCAAGCUGGAGUACAGUAGGGGCAGAGGGAAUUUCCGGUGGAGCAGUGAAAUGCGCAGAUAUCGGGAGGAACACCAGUAGCGAAGGCGGCACUCUGGGCCGUGACUGACGCUGAGGAGCGAAAGCGUGGGUAGCAAACAGG